CACAAAAUGCUACGUGGGGCUGCGCGGUAGCGCCUGUUCGUAAACCUUUACCCUCUUAGGCGAAUCUUACCAGG
rnacentral:tRNA from 1 species